rnacentral:lncRNA from 1 species
AAUUAGAAUCAAGCUAGGUCAGGGCUUGCCUGACCUUAUUAUCUGAAAUCCAUUCGGGCUUUAGAUUUACGACCCAGAUAUGAACCUCUAGCCCCGCUUGACAAGCCACGAGCCAGCUUGACCCCAUUGCCAACCCUAGCAGAGGAUCUAAGAUAUAGAUAUUAGAUAUGAAAAAAUAAAUAAUGAAAAAACAAAGAAAAAAGAGAUGUUGAAUCAUCACUAGCAGUGUCGAAUUAAUCCUUGGUGAAGGUAGAUGAAGAUUCAAGAAAGUCUUAUGUUGGUAGCUUUAGUCCAUGUCAGUAGUCAGAUGGAACCAGUUAAAGAAUUGUGCAAUGGGAGCAAGAUAUUGGAAGACUACUC